rnacentral:rRNA from 1 species
CUUAAGCAUAUCAAUAAGCGGAGGAAAAGAAACCAACAGGGAUUGCCCCAGUAACGGCGAGUGAAGCGGCAACAGCUCAAAUUUGAAAUCUGGCUCUCGGGCCCGAGUUGUAAUUUGUAGAGGAUGCUUUUGGCGAGGUGGCUUCUGAGUUCCCUGGAACGGGACGCCAGAGAGGGUGAGAGCCCCGUAUAGUCGCACACCAAGCCUUUGUAAAGCUCCUUCGACGAGUCGAGUAGUUUGGGAAUGCUGCUCAAAAUGGGAGGUAUAUCUCUUCUAAAGCUAAAUAUAGGCCAGAGACCGAUAGCGCACAAGUAGAGUGAUCGAAAGAUGAAAAGCACUUUGAAAAGAGGGUUAAAUAGCACGUGAAAUUGUUGAAAGGGAAGCGCUUGUGACCAGACUUGUGCCGGGCUGAUCAUCCACCGUUCUCGGUGGUGCACUCGACCCGGCUCAGGCCAGCGUCGGUUCUCGCAGGGGGACAAAAGCUUCGGGAACGUGGCACCUUCGGGUGUGUUAUAGCCCGCUGCUUAAUACCCUUGUGGGGACCGAGGUUCGCGCUCUGCAAGGACGCUGGCAUAAUGGUCAUCAGCGACCCGUCUUGAAACACGGACCAAGGAGUCGAGGUUUUGCGCGAGUGUUUGGGUGUAAAACCCGCACGCGUAAUGAAAGUGAACGUAGGUGAGAGCUUCGGCGCAUCAUCGACCGAUCCUGAUGUAUUCGGAUGGAUUUGAGUAAGAGCGUAUAGCCUCGGACCCGAAAGAUGGUGAACUAUGCCUGAAUAGGGUGAAGCCAGAGGAAACUCUGGUGGAGGCUCGCAGCGGUUCUGACGUGCAAAUCGAUCGUCAAAUUUGGGCAUGGGGGCGAAAGACUAAUCGAAC